UGCGGAAAGCAGCUUCCUCUUAGAUCUUAAAGCAAGACUCCCCAGGGGCAUUCACACCAAUUUACUUCUCAGUGUGGGGCACUGUGAGACAGAUUCUGAAAGGCAGCAGUAGAUAAGAUGAUCUUCAAGAAGUAAUCUGAUGUUCAUCUGAAGAAGUGGGUUGCGCCCACGAAAGCUUGUGAUACCAUCUACAUGUUUUGUUAGUCUUUAAUUCUAUUUGUUGUUUUUUAAAAAAGUUUUUUCUGAUACAGACUAACUCUAGUACCUCUCUGAAGCUAGUAAAACACCUGUGAGGGAUGGUCUGGGUCAGUGGUUUUCCAAGUUGGGUCAUGGGCCCAUCUGCUGCUCCCUCGGUUGGAAAUGGCGAGCCACAGCCAAGCAAGGCUCUGGAGCUAUGGACACGUGGACAAAUAAAGUAUUGUGGGCCCACCAGAAGUGCCCACAACCCAACAUAGAAAUCCAGUGUUCUAGGUAUACUUAAACAUGCCUCACUACAUAGGGCUGGACUAAUGAUCUCUUUGGGUCCCUAUCAGCCCUCUACUGUCUUUUUCUGAACUCUUCACAAUGAUGUGUAUCUCUACUAUCUUUAAAGUAUUAAAGACAGGAUUUUAAAAAUAACUGCCUAAAAUCAGUAUUUUAAAUCAAUAAUAAUGCACCCAAAUAA